rnacentral:rRNA from 1 species
GAGUUUGAUCCUGGCUCAGGACGAACGCUGGCGGCGUGCCUAAUACAUGCAAGUCGAACGCACGAAGUUGAAGAGCUUGCUCUUUAACCAAGUGAGUGGCGGACGGGUGAGUAACACGUGGGUAACCUGCCCAUUAGAGGGGGAUAACAUUCGGAAACGGAUGCUAAUACCGCAUAGUUUCAGGAAUCGCAUGAUUCUUGAAGGAAAGGUGGCUUCGGCUACCACUAAUGGAUGGACCCGCGGCGUAUUAGCUAGUUGGUGAGGUAAUGGCUCACCAAGGCAAUGAUACGUAGCCGACCUGAGAGGGUGAUCGGCCACACUGGGACUGAGACACGGCCCAGACUCCUACGGGAGGCAGCAGUAGGGAAUCUUCCGCAAUGGACGAAAGUCUGACGGAGCAACGCCGCGUGAGUGAAGAAGGUUUUCGGAUCGUAAAACUCUGUUGUUAAAGAAGAACAAGGAUGAGAGUAACUGCUCAUCCCCUGACGGUAUUUAACCAGAAAGCCACGGCUAACUACGUGCCAGCAGCCGCGGUAAUACGUAGGUGGCAAGCGUUGUCCGGAUUUAUUGGGCGUAAAGCGAGCGCAGGCGGUUCUUUAAGUCUGAUGUGAAAGCCCCCGGCUCAACCGGGGAGGGUCAUUGGAAACUGGAGAACUUGAGUGCAGAAGAGGAGAGUGGAAUUCCACGUGUAGCGGUGAAAUGCGUAGAUAUGUGGAGGAACACCAGUGGCGAAGGCGACUCUCUGGUCUGUAACUGACGCUGAGGCUCGAAAGCGUGGGGAGCAAACAGGAUUAGAUAC